UAGGGAAUAUUGGACAAUGGGGGCAACCCUGAUCCAGCCAUGCCGCGUGAGUGAAGAAGGCCCUCGGGUUGUAAAGCUCUUUUGUCCGGAAAGAAAAGCUUCGGGUUAAUACCCCGGGGUUCUGACGGUACCGGAAGAAUAAGCACCGGCUAACUUCGUGCCAGCAGCCGCGGUAAUACGAAGGGUGCAAGCGUUACUCGGAAUUACUGGGCGUAAAGCGUGCGUAGGUGGUUGUUUAAGUCUGAUGUGAAAGCCCUGGGCUCAACCUGGGAAUGGCAUUGGAAACUGGGCAGCUAGAGUGCGGUAGAGGGUAGUGGAAUUCCCGGUGUAGCAGUGAAAUGCGUAGAGAUCGGGAGGAACAUCUGUGGCGAAGGCGACUGCCUGGACCAGCACUGACACUGAGGCACGAAAGCGUGG
rnacentral:rRNA from 1 species